AAUAGAUACCCGGGUAGUCCACGCCGUAAACGAUGAGUGCUAAGUGUUAGAGGGUUUCCGCCCUUUAGUGCUGCAGCAAACGCAUUAAGCACUCCGCCUGGGGAGUACGGUCGCAAGACUGAAACUCAAAGGAAUUGACGGGGGCCCGCACAAGCGGUGGAGCAUGUGGUUUAAUUCGAAGCAACGCGAAGAACCUUACCAGGUCUUGACAUCCUUAUGCCAUCUCUAGAGAUAGAGCUUUCCCUUCGGGGACAUAAGUGACAGGUGGUGCAUGGUUGUCGUCAGCUCGUGUCGUGAGAUGUUGGGUUAAGUCCCGCAACGAGCGCAACCCUUGAUCUUAGUUGCCAGCAUUCAGUUGGGCACUCUAAGGUGACUGCCGGUGACAAACCGGAGGAAGGUGGGGAUGACGUCAAAUCAUCAUGCCCCUUAUGACCUGGGCUACACACGUGCUACAAUGGAUGGUACAAAGGGCAGCGAAACCGCGAGGUUAAGCCAAUCCCAUAAAACCAUUCUCAGUUCGGAUUGC
rnacentral:rRNA from 1 species